AGAGACCUAUAAAUACUAUAAAGUCAGAGAUCAAGUCUGCCUUGGUCACUACUGAUGAACUAACUCUUACAAUGACACCAGGCUGACAGAUGGUGGCAGCAGCAACAGGAACAAGUUACUUCUUAGGCUACUACAGUGGGGAAUAACAGUACCUGAAGAAACCCUGUGAACUUUUCACUGCUGGAAGAUGCUAUCAGAAAAUUCCCUAGGACAAACCACUGGUGAUGAAAAAUAAGUUUCUCUGGCUGAUUUAUAUCAAUCACGAUUCAUCAGUUCGAUCUGGGGCAAGGGCCUA